rnacentral:lncRNA from 1 species
GUGGGGGAAGCAUCACUCCUACUGGGGACCCUACCGACACAGAGAGGAGCCUGAAUCACUGCACUCCUUAACCAGUGAUCCACUGUCUGCAGGGACUGGUGGCAGGACCCAGGGGUUUGUGUAGAGAGUGGAGGAGGACACAGAACUGCUGUGAUUUCCUGCGACCCUCUGCAUCUUCCAGGAUGGCAGCAGGAAAAUAACUGUGCACUGUCACCUGCCUGUUCCCCUUCCCUUCCCCCUCCUCCUGGGCAGCCCAGCAGGGCACACAGAGGGCAGCACUGUCCAUGCUCUGUCCGCAGGGAGAGGGACCGUGCUGGGGCAGGAAGGCUCUGUUUCCAACUAAAAGCAGAGAUGCUGCCCAGGAAGCUCAUCUGCAGGUUCAGGAAGGUGAGCCCUCCCGUUGGUCACCUCUUUAUUUCUUCUAACCUCACCCGAGAGAAAGGGAAACCUUUAAAUAGAACAGGGAAAAAUAUCAAGAAAAUGCACAUUAAAACCACAAUGAGAUACCACUGUACUCCUGCAAGAGUGGCCGUUCUUGAAAAGUGAAGAAACAAUAGAUGUUGGCGUGGAGGUGGUGAAAAAGGAAUGCUCAUCCGCAGCUGGUGGGAAUGUAAGUGAGUAAGUCUCGAUGGAAAACAGCAUGGAGGCUUCUUAACAACUGAAAGCAGAUCUACCGUUUGAUCCAGCAGUCCCAUUACUGGGUAUUUACCCAAAGGAAAUGCAGUCAUUAUAUCAAAAAGACAUCUGCAUGCAUAUGUUCAUUAUGGCACAAUUGCAAAGAUAAG